GCCUUGGCUAUGGCGAUAAAUGAUAGCGUAAAAUAGACGCAGCGGACCCGGGGGCAGUACCCGGCGGCUCCACCACAAGGUGGUGUUUCUGGACACCGUUUCUGACGGGGCCGAACCAGGAUCGACGUGUGUUGAAAGGCGCCUUCUUUUGCUCGGAAUGGGACCACCGUGACGGCCCAUACACAAGUGCCAACGAUAACGAAGCACUCGCGAUUGCAGCGUAACUGAGGGCCUAACGGCCUAAGGUUAUUCUUACAAAAGCGCGGUCGGACCCCACCGGGCAACAGAAGGGGAUUCCAGCGGUACGGGGAGCACCGGGCAACAGAAGCUCCCCACU
rnacentral:tmRNA from 1 species